CGUCUGGCCUCUGGUGGUCAGGAUAGCCGACUGAGGAUAUGGAAUAUUUCCCAGCAUGCAACAGCAGGCUGUGAGAUGUCUAUGCUGUUCUCUCUCUCUGCUCAAUCUGCUCCUGUUCUCGCCUGUGCUUUCUCGUUUGACGGACAGCUGCUCGUCUCAGGGUCGGUUGAUAAAACAGUGGCGGUGUAUGAUGCGGUGAGUGAUGCCUUGAUUUAUUUGCCUUAACAUUUCUGAUUAUUUGUUUUCAGCAAGCUGAGACUGUCAUAAAAAUAAUAGAUGUGUCC